rnacentral:misc_RNA from 1 species
UACCAUGGCAGCCUCUGGUCCAGAUGGAGGCGCUGUAGCUUUGGAUGCCUCUGCAUUUCCACCAUUGAAGCCAAGUAAGCAAUUAAUGAAAGACUUUAUAAUUGACAAAAACAAAUUCUCUUUGUUGCCUCCCAUAUUUGUUUUUGACAUUGGAGGAAAAGAGAAAAAAGAAAAGAGAUGCUAUUGGGAAGUAGAAAACAGGGGGAUUCUGGGUCUGAACUUUUGGUUGAAA